rnacentral:lncRNA from 1 species
CAAAACUCAUAUUGCAGGCAAAAACCUGUGAAAAAUAGAUUUAAAAAAAUGUGAAUUUUGUGACCACUAGAUGUCAACGAUCUUUAUAAAGUUGUUUGAAGCGUCUAUGAUAAACAGAGAGCAAAUUAGAAUCCAAGGAAGUUGACAUGUCAUCACUUCAUUUUUUUGCGCCUGCGCAUAAAUCUGAGAAACGUGAGUUUGUCAUCAUUUUUUAUCUAGACAUAGGAUAGGUUGUGUGAAAAUAUUACUGAUGUUUAACGUUAAAAAUGGACCAAAAGAUUAAUGCUAAACAACAUUUGACAUGUUUGAACGAACAUAAAUAGAUUAUUUACUAGGUUUUUUUAGCUUUUCGGCGUGAUUUUACCAGCCCCACAACCACGUUUUGUGGGAGCAUAAUGAACGCUAAGUACUUGGUGUUAUUUGGACAUAAAUUAUUAACUUUGUCAAAAGAAACCACAUUUGUUCCGGACCUGGAAUGCCUUCCGGACCUGGGAUCCUGCCUUCUGAUGGAGAUAAUCAAAGGUGGUGGAGAUAUGGCCAAAAUCAAGAUGAAAUGGAGAGCUAUACUGCUAUGUCUAACAGCCUGACCUUUAUGAACCUCACAAGAUGUUCCGCUGCGUGUCUUGCUGACAUCUUUCCUGGCUUGUUGCGGACUUGAGCGGAGGGAGGCAGAAGAUGGAUGAGGAGAAGAAUGGACGACAUGUCACUGUCCCAGCCUCGAAAC